UACGGGGGGAGCAAGCGUUGUUCGGAUUUACUGGGCGUAAAGGGCGCGUAGGCGGCCACGACAAGUCACUUGUGAAAUCUCCGGGCUUAACUCGGAAAGGUCAAGUGAUACUGUCGGGCUAGAGUACAGAAGGGGCAACUGGAAUUCUCGGUGUAGCGGUGAAAUGCGUAGAUAUCGAGAGGAACACCAGUGGCGAAGGCGGCUAACUGGUCCGAUACUGACGCUGAGGUGCGAAAGCGUGGGGAGCAAACAGG
rnacentral:rRNA from 1 species